AAACAUACCUGGACGGGGUCAAUGGGUGAUCAUGAAGGCCCAUGGCCUAGGUUGGUGUCCUCCAUUGCACUUUGGAGGGGUGCCUGCCUAAGGUCGGCCCAAGUGGCCGAGCCUAAGUCAUAAUUUGUGGCAGCGGGGGCCUGCGUUCGCACGGCCCCUA
rnacentral:snRNA from 1 species